CCUACGGGAGGCAGCAGUGGGGAAUAUUGCGCAAUGGGCGAAAGCCUGACGCAGCGACGCCGCGUGAGGGAUGAAGGUCUUCGGAUCGUAAACCUCUGUCAGCAGGGAAGAACGGUCACUGUGCUAAUCAGCAGUGAAUUGACGGUACCUGCAAAGGAAGCACCGGCUAACGCCGGGCCAGCAGCCGCGGUAAUACGGCGGGUGCGAGCGUUAAUCGGAAUUACUGGGCGUAAGGGGCGCGUAGGCGGUAUGUCAAGUCAAGGGUGAAAUCCCCGCGCUCAACGUGGGAACUGCCUUUGAAACUGUCAGACUGGAGUGUGGGAGAGGAGAGUGGAAUUCCAGGUGUAGGGGUGAAAUCCGUAGAGAUCUGGAGGAACAUCGGUUGCGAAGGCGACUAUCUGGCACAUAACUGACGCUGAGGAGCGAAAGCGUGGGUAGCAAACAGGAUUAGAUACCCUUGUAGUC
rnacentral:rRNA from 1 species